AUCACGCCCUGAGCCGAAGGCAGAUGCUUAACCGCUGUGCCACCCAGGGGCCCCUGAAGAGAGUUACCUGAUAAUCUUUGUACAACAGAUUUCAUCACCUGGCACAGGACCAUUCUUGCUCGGUAAAGUUAUACAAACUGAACACACCAGCACCCAAAUCCAGAAACGGAACAUUCCCAGCCUCGAAAGCCCUUUGAGGAAGAUGUGAAUGCCAGGAUCUAACUGCAGCCGGUCCUUCGGAUGGAGAAGGUAAGUGCUGUGGGUAUCGAUGCUAAUAGGGUAGAACUUUUAGUCAUGUGUCUAUGAAGUUUAUCUUCAGAGAAGUUUUGGUGUUUUUGUUUUUGUUUUGUUUUUGUUUUGUUUUGUUUUUAAAUAAAGAGUUAGACUAUGUUGGGUCCGAAAGUUGCUGUUUGUUUUGGGGGGAGGUAUGUGUUUGAGGAGCACGGAUCCGUGCGCAGUCUGUGUGCUCUUCCCCCGUCUGUGUAACAGCAUGCCAGGCACUUUCAUAGCUGUUAUCUCAUUGUAUUCUCCCAAAGGCCCUGCUGAACAGUAUUGGCAGAUAUUCACCCUGUAAGUGAGCUUCAGUCAUUCAUUAGCGAUUAAGCAUGGUUAGUAUGAAUCUCAAAGUCAGUACUGAUCUUCACUUGGUAGACGGAGCUACAGGUUACUGGCUGGUUUCAACCAGAGUUCAUUCUGACUGGUCGACACCCGUCCUCUCUAUGUUAAAUGUUUUGACUACCACUCUUGUUCUAAGUAUACCUAGAAUAAAAUAAUUUCAAUCUGAAUGAGUCCAUGGAGAUGAUGUCUUUCACCAGUUUUCAAUAGUGCUCCUUCGAUUUCAUGGAAGAAGUACUGUAGGAAGCGGUGGUGACAAAGAAGGUGAAAUGGGAGGUGAAAGAGAAGGUAGUAGAAAAGGAGCACCACACUCCAUCCAGCUUCGGUUUGGGUCAUUUCAAUUUUGGUUCUUUUAAAUAUUGGUCCUGGGUAAGUUUUUACAUGAAACGAAGUCAAAAACCACUUACAUAUUGCAACUAUACCAUCUUCCCAAUUAAGAAGCUUACAAAGGUUAAGUCACUAUGAGAAAAUUAUACAAUUAUAUCCUAGGGAGUUGCAAAAUUUGGAUAUCAAUUCAGGUUUUUGAAUCUCAGACUUUUCCUCUCAAGGGCUCCAUCUUUGAUGCCUGUGGAUAUAGGAUAAAUAACAACUUCAGCCCAAUAUAAACAUAACCAUAAUAUUAUCUCAAUAUAUCUCUUCAUGAAUAUGUACACAUUUUUGAAAAUUAUUUGUUUAUGGUCUCUCUUAAUCCAUGAACUUGUAGUGGCUUACAACAACAAAUUAGGAAUUUGUGGGAGGGAAAAAAAGAUGGGCAUAAAGGCACAAAAUACCGCUACUAAGGUCUGGAUGGUUGUAGAGGUGGGCUAUACAUGGACUGUGAGCCUGGUAGAAGUCAGUGAAGAAGGAAACAACUACGCACAAUGUAGACUGACUUUCUGGCAUCUUGAAAAUGCAUGAAAUCCAAAACUGGGGGAAAAAACACUUUAAAAAUCUGGACAAACAAAAGUAACUGCUCCAGACUGUCAGCACUUACUGCUCUUGAUGUGCACAAGGCUUAAUUAUUUCCCUUUGCUCUAACAUACUCAGACUCCA